AUUUGACGAUCUUCGCGCACUCUGUUCCUUUGCUGUGGCCUUCCCGUCUCAACAUGAGAGCUAAGUGGCGAAAGAAGCGCAUGCGCAGGCUGAAGCGUAAAAGGAGGAAGAUGAGGCAGAGGUCCAAGUAAGCUGUCUUCUCCGCCAUGGCUGUGACAGCACGUGUUGCCAACAACCAGUCGGUGAGCAGCUGAAGACCCAGGCCAGGGCCCUCCCGGUGUCAAGUCUGUCAGUGGAGCCUAUAUCAACCUGAGGCCGCUGGGCUGCAGCAGCUGAUGGAUGCUGGAGAGCUGAUUAAAGACCUGCUGGAUGACGGGCUUCUCCUCGGGGACAUUCUGGACUCAUAGUUCUUAAUUCCUCAACUUUUGUCUUUUGUUUAUACUGUGAUUAAAGGUUUUGGUUUCUAAAUAA